rnacentral:rRNA from 1 species
GAUACCCUGGGUAGUCCACGCAGUAAACGAUGAAUACUAGCUGUCCGGGGCGAAUGAGCCCUGGGUGGCACAGCGAAAGCGUUAAGUAUUCCACCUGGGGAGUACGCCGGCAACGGUGAAACUCAAAGGAAUUGACGGGGGCCCGCACAAGCGGAGGAACAUGUGGUUUAAUUCGAUGAUACGCGAGGAACCUUACCCGGGCUCAAACGACACAGGAACGUACCUGAAAGGGUUCGGCUCUACGGAGCCUGUGUCGAGGUGCUGCAUGGUUGUCGUCAGCUCGUGCCGUGAGGUGUCGGCUUAAGUGCCAUAACGAGCGCAACCCCCAUCGACAGUUGCUAACAGGUCAGGCUGAGGACUCUGUCGAGACUGCCGGCGCAAGCUGCGAGGAAGGCGGGGAUGACGUCAAAUCAGCACGGCCCUUACGUCCGGGGCGACACACGUGUUACAAUGGCAGGUACAGCGGGAAGCCACCUGGCGACAGGGAGCGGAACCCGAAAGCCUGUCUCAGUUCGGAUUGGAGUCUGCAACCCGACUCCAUGAAGCUGGAUUCGCUAGUAAUCGCGCAUCAGCCACGGCGCGGUGAAUACGUUCCCGGGCCUUGUACACACCGCCCGUCAAGCCAUGGAAGCCGGGGGUGCCUGAAGUGCGCUGCCGCGAGGAGCGCCCUAGGGUAAAACCGGUGACUGGGGCUAAGUCGUAACAAGGUAAC